rnacentral:misc_RNA from 1 species
UCUCCGUAGGUGAACCUGCGGAGGGAUCAUUACUGAGUGAGGGUUCCGGCCCGACCUCCAACCCUUUGUGAAUUCGACCCAGUUGCCUCGGGGGCGACCCGGCCUCUGCUGCCAGGGCCCCCGGUGGACCACUCAACUCUGCAUCUUUGCGUCUGAGUAAAUAUUUGAAUCAAUCAAAACUUUCAACAACGGAUCUCUUGGUUCUGGCAUCGAUGAAGAACGCAGC